ensembl:snRNA U7 U7 small nuclear RNA
AAGAAGUUAAGUUCUUUUAGAAUUUUUCUAGUAGAUUUUCUGCUUUUCACCAGAAAACCCAU